GGCACAAAGAUCCAUUCCCUCAAACUACAAUUUUAUAUAUAUUUUUUAAAAAAAAGUAUAUUUUAGCAGUGAGUAUGUGAUUGUGUCAUGGGCAAUAGAAAAAAUUCUCCACAUCAACUGACAUCCUCUGCAUAAGUUAUAGAACAUAUUAAAGUG